rnacentral:rRNA from 1 species
UACAGAGGGUGCAAGCGUUAAUCGGAAUUACUGGGCGUAAAGCGCGCGUAGGUGGCCUCAUAAGUCCGCUGUGAAAGUCAAAGGCUCAACCUUUGAAAGCCGGUGGAUACUGUGAGGCUAGAGUACGGAAGAGGCGAGUGGAAUUCCUGGUGUAGCGGUGGAAUGCGCAGAUAUCAGGAGGAACACCAAUAGCGAAGGCAGCUCGCUGGGACGUUACUGACACUGAGGCGCGAAAGCGUGGGGAGCGAACAGG